rnacentral:rRNA from 1 species
UGGGGAAUAUUGCACAAUGGGCGCAAGCCUGAUGCAGCCAUGCCGCGUGUAUGAAGAAUGCCUUCGGGUUGUAAAGUACUUUCAGCGGGGAGGAAGGGAGUAAAGUUAAUACCUUUGCUCAUUGACGUUACCCGCAGAAGAAGCACCGGCUAACUCCGUGCCAGCAGCCGCGGUAAUACGGAGGGUGCAAGCGUUAAUCGGAAUUACUGGGCGUAAAGCGCACGCAGGCGGUUUGUUAAGUCAGAUGUGAAAUCCCCGGGCUCAACCUGGGAACUGCAUCUGAUACUGGCAAGCUUGAGUCUCGUAGAGGGGGGUAGAAUUCCAGGUGUAGCGGUGAAAUGCGUAGAGAUCUGGAGGAAUACCGGUGGCGAAGGCGGCCCCCUGGACGAAGACUGACGCUCAGGUGCGAAAGCGUGGGGAGCAAACAGG